rnacentral:lncRNA from 1 species
AAUCAGCUGGGAACAAUGACUGCCAAAAGUGUCCAGAGGAAGUCUGCAGGACCUGGGUCUCUCCUAGGUGGAAUAUUCUUUGAAAUCAGGGAACAGAUGUCCACAUCCUGGACUCAGGAAUUUGCGCAGAAGGAGACACUCCAAGCAGUGCUCCGACACACAAGAGGCCCCAGGAAUUCGGAGACCUGAGUAACCCCAAGGAAGCCCUGGCCGCACUCAGGCUGCUGUUUUCAGGCAAAACUAAACAACUCAUAUCAGUCCAAGCACAAAGGAUACUCUCCAAGGAUCAUGGACAUGGAGGUUUGGAUUGAUUUGCAUUCUUUUGCCAAGGAAAGCAUUAACUGGCCCUUUGGGAAGCCCACCUAGUCAAAGGCUAAAAGCUUUAUUGUGCCUGGAGGACAAUCUGCACUUCCGCUCCUUCGGGACUCACCUACUCUCGUGGUAAUUCCAUGCCAAACCACAACCUCCUAGGAAAUGGAUCUGACUCUGAGUCAGAGAUGCGUUCCAAGUCCUAGGGCUAUUGGCCCCGCCAACUUAUAUCCUCACCCCUUGACUGCCAUUUCUCUCUUUUGCCAAUACUGACACUAAUUGUAGAGUUCCCCAACUCCACGCUGCCACUUGCUUAUUUCGUUAUUAUUGCUCAACCUGUGUGACUAUUUUGGAGGACAGAGAUUCCUAGGUCUCUGUAUCUGGAUCUUUCUCUAAGCUGGCAAGUAACCUGCUUUAUCUAACCUUCCUACUGUCAGUGACCCAAGCAGUAGAAGUCACCUCCCUAAUUGUCUUCUAUGAGUUGGAAACCAAAUAAAAAGAUUUAUUAGAAAUAUGUAUAGAGUUAGAGCCUGUGUGUACUGACUGAAGUUCUAAAGGC